rnacentral:rRNA from 1 species
AACGAACGCUGGCGGCAGGCCUAACACAUGCAAGUCGAGCGCCCCGCAAGGGGAGCGGCAGACGGGUGAGUAACGCGUGGGGACGUACUAUUUGGUUCGGAACAACUCCGGGAAACUGGAGCUAAUACCGGAAAAGCCCUAACGGGGAAAGAUUUAUCGCCGAACGAUCGGCCCGAGACUGAUUAGCGGGUUGGUGAGGUAACGGCUCACCAAGGCGACGACCGGUAGCUGGUCUGAGAGGAUGAUCAGCCACACUGAGACUGAGACACGGCCCAGACUCCUCCGGGAGGCAGCAGUGGGGAAUAUUGCACCAUGGGGGCAAUCCUGAUCCAGCCAUGCCGCGUGAGUGAUGAAGGCCUUAGGGUUGUAAAGCUCUUUUGUCCGGGAAGAUAAUGACUGUACCGGAAGAAUAAGCCCCGGCUAACUUCGUG